UACGUAGGGUGCGAGCGUUGUCCGGAAUUAUUGGGCGUAAAGAGCGUGUAGGCGGCUCGAUAAGUCCGCUCUGAAAGCCCGGGGCUCAACCCCGGGAGGCGGGCGGAUACUGUCGAGCUAGAGUCCGGAAGAGGCGAGUGGAAUUCCUGGUGUAGCGGUGAAAUGCGCAGAUAUCAGGAGGAACACCAAUGGCGAAGGCAGCUCGCUGGGACGGUACUGACGCUGAGACGCGAAAGCGUGGGGAGCAAACAGG
rnacentral:rRNA from 1 species